CCUACGGGAGGCAGCAGUAGGGAAUAUUGGGCAAUGGAGGCAACUCUGACCCAGCCAUGCCGCGUGCAGGAUGAAGGCGUUAUGCGUUGUAAACUGCUUUUAUAUAGGAAGAAAGAGUUCUUGCGAGAACAGUUGACGGUACUAUAUGAAUAAGCACCGGCUAACUCCGUGCCAGCAGCCGCGGUAAUACGGAGGGUGCAAGCGUUGUCCGGAUUUAUUGGGUUUAAAGGGUGCGUAGGCGGUUUAUUAAGUCAGUGGUGAAAGACGGUCGCUCAACGAUUGCAGUGCCAUUGAUACUGGUAGACUUGAGUGAGAUUGAGGUAGCUGGAAUGGAUAGUGUAGCGGUGAAAUGCAUAGAUAUUAUCCAGAACACCAAUUGCGUAGGCAAGUUACUAAGUCUCAACUGACGCUGAGGCACGAAAGUGUGGGUAUCAAACAGGAUUAGAUACCCUGGUAGUCCACACUGUAAACGAUGAUAACUAACUGUUGGCUUUGGGUCNGUGUACAGAGAAUCGUUAAGUUAUCCACCGUGGGGAGUACGCCGGCGAACGGUGAAACGUCGAAAGGAAGUUGACGNGUGAGAGAGACGACGGACGACGACGAGGGGAGGAGG
rnacentral:rRNA from 1 species